GGACAGAUGGGAGCUUGCGUCCCUGAUGUUAGCGGCGGACGGAUGAGUAACACGUGUCUGACCUGCCUGUAAGACUGGGAUAACUCCGGGAAACCGGGGCUAAUACCGGAUGAUUGUUUGAACCGCAUGGUUCAAACAUAAAAGGUGGCUUCGGCUACCACUUACAGAUGGACCCGCGUAGCUUUAGCUAGUUGGUGAGGUACCGGCUCACCAAGGCAACUAUGCGUACUCAACCUGAGAGGAGGAUCGGUGACACUGAGACUGAGACACGACUCAUACUGCUACGGGAGGCGGCAGAUAGUGAUCUUCGGCAAUGAACGAAAGUCUGACGUAGCAACGGCGCGAGAAAGAUGUACGUUUUCGAAUCGAAAUGCUCUGUUGUUAGGGAAGAACAAGUACCGUUCGAAUAGCGUGGUACCUUGACGGAACCUAACCAGAAAGCCACGGCUAGCUACGUGCCAGCAGCCGCGGUAAUACGCAGGUGGCAAGCGUUGUCAGUGAUUAUUGAGCGUACAGGGCUCGCAGGCGAUUUCUUAUGUCUGAUGUGAGAGCCCCCGGUUCAACCGGCGAGGGACAUUGGAAACUGGGGAACUUGAGUGCAGAAGAGGAGAGCGGAUUCCACGUGUAGCGGUGAAAUGCUCAGAGAUGUGAAGGAACACCAGUGGCGAAGGCUACUCUCUGGAUCUGUAACUGACGCUGAGGAGCGA
rnacentral:rRNA from 1 species